ACCAACAACUGUGCCACGUUGAAUACACCAGUUCUCGUACGAUCACUGAAGUUAAGCAACGCUGUGCGUGGUCAGUACUUGGAUGGAUGACCGUCUGGGAGAUCACGUGUUGUUUGUU
rnacentral:rRNA from 1 species